AACGCUGGCGGCGUGCCUAAUACAUGCAAGUCGAACGCUCCUACCGGUGCUUGCACCGGGAAAGAAGAGUGGCGGACGGGUGAGUAACACGUGGGUAACCUACCUACAAGCGGGGGAUAACAUUCGGAAACGGAUGCUAAUACCGCAUAGAUCUUUUUUGUCUCCUGACAGAAAGAAGAAAGACGGUUUCGGCUGUCACUUGUAGAUGGACCCGCGGCGCAUUAGUUAGUUGGUGAGGUAAUGGCUCACCAAGACGAUGAUGCGUAGCCGACCUGAGAGGGUGAUCGGCCACACUGGGACUGAGACACGGCCCAGACUCCUACGGGAGGCAGCAGUAGGGAAUCUUCCGCAAUGGACGAAAGUCUGACGGAGCAACGCCGCGUGAGUGAAAAGAAGGUUUUCGGAUCGUAAAACUCUGUUGUUAGAGAAGAACAAGGAUGAGAGUAACUGCUCGUCCCUUGACGGUAUCUAACCAGAAAGCCAUGGCUAACUACGUGCCAGCCGCCGC
rnacentral:rRNA from 1 species